rnacentral:lncRNA from 1 species
UUUUUCAUUAUUAUUUUACGUGCUUAUUCUCCUUGAAUAUUUAAGGUCAAAAUAGUUAAACUGCCAUUUGAAAUUUUAUUAAUUGAGUUGUGUGUUUUCUGGAUAUUGUUAGCAAAGUAAAACAAAUGAACAAAUUUCCUUUUCUCUCCAUCUCUGCUUUCGCUUACCUAAAUUGCAUUUUUUUUUUUUUUGGCAUCCACAUAUUGUUUCACUUUAGUUUAUGAUUUUUUAAGGCAUGAACAUGAUGAACAUGAUUUUUUUUUUUUCAUUAUUAUUUUACGUGCUUAUUCUCCUUGAAUAUUUAAGGUCAAAAUAGUUAAACUGCCAUCUGAAAUUUUAUUAAUUGAGUUGUGUGUUUUCUGGAUAUUGUUAGCAAAGUAAAACAAAUGAACAAAUUUCCUUUUCUCUCUAUCUCUGCUUUCGCUUACCUAAAUUGCAUUUUUUUUUUUUGGCAUCCACAUAUUGUUUCACUUUAGUUUAUGAUUUUUUAAAGCAUGAACAUGAUGAACAUGACUUGCAAGACACCCUGCACUUCCUUUUUUUUCUUAGGUAACGCUCUGAUUUCAGUUCUGGGUUUCAUGAAUGUCUAAUCAUGUUUUCCUUUGUACUUGGAUUUUGCUAUGCAUUUCAUAUUAGUUUUUUGUUGUAUGGAUUCAAUUUAAGUUUCAUGCUUCAUGAUGUGUAAUGUUAGAAUUCUUUUGUAGUUAGACUGUUAGAAUCCUGAAAUUUAAGUAUUUGCUUAAAGUUGGUUGGUUGGUUGUAUUUUGAGGCUAUGUAAUUAUGUGGUUG